rnacentral:rRNA from 1 species
GAGUUUGAUCAUGGCUCAGGAUGAACGCCGGCGGUGUGCCUAAUACAUGCAAGUCGUACGCACUGGCCCAACUGGUUGAUGGUGCUUGCACCUGAUCGACGAUGGAUCACCAGUGAGUGGCGGACGGGUGAGUAACACGUAGGUAACCUGCCCUGUACAGGGGAUAACAAUCAGAAAUGACUGCUAAUACCGCAUAAGACCACAGCACCGCAUGGUGCAGGGGUAAAAACUCCGGUGGUACAGGAUGGACCCGCGUCUGAUUAGCUGGUUGGUGAGGUAACGGCUCACCAAGGCGACGAUCAGUAGCCGGCUUGAGAGAGUGAACGGCCACAUUGGGACUGAGACACGGCCCAAACUCCUACGGGAGGCAGCAGUGGGGAAUAUUGCACAAUGGGGAAACCCUGAUGCAGCAACGCCGCGUGAGUGAAGAAGUAUUUCGGUAUGUAAAGCUCUAUCAGCAGGGAAGAAAGUGACGGUACCUGACUAAGAAGCCCGGCUAACUACG